UAGGCGGUCCUUUUUCCAUUGAUGAAUUUCUUCACUACAUGGUACACGUGAGCUUAAAUUUUUUUGAAACAUGAACUUCGCAUGCUAUUGAAAAUCAAGAAAAUUACACAACUAUAUACAUACACUUCAUGUGCUGUGUGCACGACCAACACAUUAGCAAGCUUAGUGCCAACAUAUACAUAAGUAGCAGCACACUAAUAUUACAUUGUUUUUGUUCUGAUCAUUCAGAAUGUUGUAUCUUCCAAGAGGAUGGAGAAUGAUAAAUCUACAGGAAGACCAUAUGUAGAAAAGCAACAUCAUAAUCUUUAACCAUGGACAACAGCAAGUUCAAACACAAAACCAAGGACUAUAAUAGCUAAACUCUCAUAGAAAUCUCUCUCUAGCAUUCUAGUUGAACUUCAACAGUAGCGCACCAACAUUAGCUAGAGGGCGAGGCAGGCCGCAGCAACAGCUGCUAACAGCGACCAGCAAAUGGAGGCUGGGUCGUGACGGCGGCACCGAGAUGGAGGAGGUGCCAGGGCAUGGCAGGCAAAAAUAACUGUGAUUGAAUAGUCUCAAUCAGGUAGGUAGGCGUUACAAGAAAAGAAAUAGCAAGUACAUCAAGUUUCAGUGCCUCUUUCACACACAGAUGUACAACAAAAUUGGCAUACCUUCUUAUAUAGAUGAACUUGAACCCCUAAAAACUUGUGAGAUAUGAACAUCUUUCGAAAGCCAUCGACCGCCUCAAAAAAAUCCCUGGAAUCCUCUGACAUCGUGCAUCAAACUUGGUCUUCAGUCUCAAUAAUAUUAUUUCAGAAUCCUUUUUUCAAUCGCCAUCAACAUGGUUGUCAUUGCAGGCAAACUAUCAACUUUACGAUUCUAAAAGUACUAGCUUUUGGCAAAAUGUGUACAAGCUACUCAAGAAAUUGAAGAUAGUUGCAAACAACAUACGAGCUACAGCCUAGCGAUUUUUGCAAGUACGUGAGUGAAGACUUGUGAUUGUUCUGAUUCUGAACUUCACAUUUUUCUGAUUCUGAACUUGUGAUUGUUCUUUUUUCGCAGGGUGCAGUGCAACUGCCGGUGUUGGGAGGCUGGCUUCGCUCCAUCAGGUAGCUUCGUCCACCGCCGCACAGGACGGCGAGGAGGGGAUGAAGGAAAGACAGACCUGGCAGCAAGCGGGGGAGGAGCCGGAGCAGCGCCAUGUCGGGGAUGCAUGGUGUCAGCAGCUAUGUUUUUUAUAAAACCUAAAUCACUUCACAGAACAUAGUUAAAUAUUUUAACAUCACAAAAAGCUAUGUUUUUUUAUACAAGAAGUUGUUUUUCUAGGUAGUAGCACGUGCUUGCGUUGCACACGUUCCUCUACCACACACAUAUUUAUCCUCUCACGUGCUUCCAUUCUCCCCCUGUUUAACUCUGAACUCGUGUUGCACUACCAAAAGCUAACAGCAAAUGCAAUCCUAAUUAACAUACGAUGCAGAGCAUCAUCUCCGGUCAAAGCGAGGAAGCCUUAAUUGACAAAAUUGCAAAAAAUUUGUACUUCCGGCCUUGGGUGUGCUGGGCAGCGGCGGUGCGCUUUUCUUGUUGUUGAAUCCACGAGUGAUCCAACUAACACAAAGUCAAGUUGAACUCCAUGUUUUUUUUAGAGGGAAACCUUGUGUUCAGCAGCCAUGUCCUUGUCGUUUCAAUCGUAUGAACUUCAUAGGAAUUGGGAAUGAAACUCGUGGCUGGUGUUACCUUCUUUUUGCUAGCCAUCUGAUUGAGGAAAGAGAGCACCCGCUGGUUGCCGAGAGAGCCUGGAUCGCGCCAGGAUCUGUUCCAUUCAUGAACACAAACAUAUGAGCUGAGACCACGAGAGAAGCUAAAAGUACACAACUCGAACACCGGUCAUGAAAUUUUCUGCACCGCAAACGUUGUUGAAUCCAUUUCUUUAACUGUUAAGAACGGAUGGUUUUCUUUUGUCAACGAUCUCUUCUAACAUAUGUGCUAAAACUGCUAAAAAUGAGCAUUUUUGCUAUAAUGCAUAUAAUGAACCUCUUAAUUUCAGACAUGAAAACUAAAUAAUUGUGUUUAUACGCAGUCGAACUGAUUCACAGAGGAGAUGAGGAGGUUGACAGAGAGAGAUGGUUGCAGCCGAAGCCGGUAUAGGCGGCUGGCCGCGCCACCGAAGCGCCGGUGAAAGGGAGUGCCGUCGCCAACAGCGGGAGAUGAGGCACGUGGAGGCACAGGGUCAGCGGCCGCUGGCUCGAGGAAUAGCAUGUAAAAACCAAAACUGAAAAAUUCAGUACACAUUCUGUCGAACAUGAAAACUAGAAAAUUCUGUUCAUCUUCAGAAAGGAAGAUGCUGUAGCAACUAGAUUUGUAGGAGAAGCAUCAUGCUAGAAUAAGUUAGACUGCACAUAUUCUUCUUUUGUGAACUUCUGCAACUAUAUGCAGGUCGUGGGGAGGUGAGCGGCGGCAGCACACGCGAGCAUGGUCGCUUCUAUACAUUAUACAUUGCUGCUAACCAAAAUCACAAAACAUGCUGAACGUGUAUGGGAUGGAAGUGGUGUGCUCAGCCUCACCUUGACUGUUGUGGACUGCUGCUCGCGAUGGCCUCGACCUCCCUGACACAGCGCGGCUGGACUGGGAUGGCGCUUGGUUUCGUUGGGUUAAUCGGGAGGAGGCGGAGGUGUGGUAUUCAGGAUGAGGAAGAAGGGCGGCGCGGGAGUUCCACCUGGAGGAAGAAGGGCGCCUGAGGCUAGGAUGGUUGGGGCGACGCCGGUUGAUUCGGGGGAAGGGGAGGGGUAGCGCGGUGGCGGAGGAAGCCAGAUCCGAGCGCGCCGGGAGGGAUGACAGAGUGUGAUUGGGACGGAUAGGCAGCAAGAGGAGGCGCGCGACCUCUGCGCCCUGCAGGGGCGGUGCUGGUCGCCGGUGGAGGUCCAGCAGCUGGAGACACGCUGGGAUCCGAGGCGGGCGACGCGAGGCGUGCUGGGGACGAGGGGCAGGCGGGGGUUGGACGGCGACGGGAGGCUCGCCGGGGCAGUGGGAGCGGCGGCGGGAGGCGCGGCAGGGCCAGGGAGGCAGCGGCGGGAGGCGCACCGGAGCCAGGGGCCGGCAGCGGAAGGCAGUCGGGCGGA
rnacentral:lncRNA from 1 species